rnacentral:rRNA from 1 species
UACAGAGACUGCAAGCGUUAUUCGGAUUCACUGGGCGUAAAGGGUGCGCAGGCGGCCAAGUGUGUGAGGCGUGAAAGCCCGGGGCUUAACCCCGGAAUUGCACCUCAAACUACUUGGCUAGAGCAUUGGAGAGGGUAGCAGAAUUCAUGGUGUAGCAGUGAAAUGCGUAGAUAUCAUGAGGAAUACCAGAGGCGAAGGCGGCUACCUGGACAAUUGCUGACGCUCAGGCACGGAAGCGUGGGGAGCAAAAGGG